CGGUUAAGUUAGAAAGGGCGCACGGUGGAUGCCUUGGCACUAGGAGCCGAUGAAGGACGGGACGAACACCGAUAUGCUUCGGGGAGCUGUAAGCAAGCUUUGAUCCGGAGAUUUCCGAAUGGGGAAACCCACCACUCGUAAUGGAGUGGUAUCCAUAUCUGAAUACAUAGGGUAUGAGAAGGCAGACCCGGGGAACUGAAACAUCUAAGUACCCGGAGGAAGAGAAAGCAAAUGCGAUUCCCUGAGUAGCGGCGAGCGAAACGGGACCAGCCCAAACCAAGAGGCUUGCCUCUUGGGGUUGUAGGACACUCUGUACGGAGUUACAAAGGAACGAGGUAGAUGAAGAGGUCUGGAAAGGCCCGCCAUAGGAGGUAACAGCCCUGUAGUCAAAACUUCGUUCUCUCCUGAGUGGAUCCUGAGUACGGCGGAACACGUGAAAUUCCGUCGGAAUCCGGGAGGACCAUCUCCCAAGGCUAAAUACUCCCUAGUGACCGAUAGUGAACCAGUACCGUGAGGGAAAGGUGAAAAGCACCCCGGAAGGGGAGUGAAAGAGAUCCUGAAACCGUGUGCCUACAAGUAGUCAGAGCCGGGUGAUGGCGUGCCUUUUGUAGAAUGAACCGGCGAGUUACGAUCCCGUGCAAGGUUAAGCAGAAGAUGCGGAGCCGCAGCGAAAGCGAGUCUGAAUAGGGCGAAUUGAGUACGUGGUCGUAGACCCGAAACCAGGUGAUCUACCCAUGUCCAGGGUGAAGUUCAGGUAACACUGAAUGGAGGCCCGAACCCACGCACGUUGAAAAGUGCGGGGAUGAGGUGUGGGUAGGGGUGAAAUGCCAAUCGAACCUGGAGAUAGCUGGUUCUCUCCGAAAUAGCUUUAGGGCUAGCCUCAAGGUAAGAGUCUCGGAGGUAGAGCACUGAUUGGACUAGGGGCCCCUACCGGGUUACCGAAUUCAGUCAAACUCCGAAUGCCGAUGACUUAUCCUUGGGAGUCAGACUGCGAGUGAUAAGAUCCGUAGUCGAAAGGGAAACAGCCCAGACCGCCAGCUAAGGUCCCAAAGUAUACGUUAAGUGGAAAAGGAUGUGGAGUUGCUUAGACAACCAGGAUGUUGGCUUAGAAGCAGCCACCAUUUAAAGAGUGCGUAAUAGCUCACUGGUCGAGUGACUCUGCGCCGAAAAUGUACCGGGGCUAAACGUAUCACCGAAGCUGCGGACUGUUCUUCGAACAGUGGUAGGAGAGCGUUCUAAGGGCUGUGAAGCAAGACCGGAAGGACUUGUGGAGCGCUUAGAAGUGAGAAUGCCGGUAUGAGUAGCGAAAGAGGGGUGAGAAUCCCCUCCACCGAAUGCCUAAGGUUUCCUGAGGAAGGCUCGUCCGCUCAGGGUUAGUCGGGACCUAAGCCGAGGCCGAAAGGCGUAGGCGAUGGACAACAGGUUGAUAUUCCUGUACCACCUCCUCACCAUUUGAGCAAUGGGGGGACGCAGGAGGAUAGGGUAAGCGCGGUAUUGGAUAUCCGCGUCCAAGCAGUUAGGCUGGGAAAUAGGCAAAUCCGUUUCCCGUGAAGGCUGAGCUGUGAUGGCGAGCGAAUUAUAGUAGCGAAGUUCCUGAUUCCACACUGCCAAGAAAAGCCUCUAGCGAGGUGAGAGGUGCCCGUACCGCAAACCGACACAGGUAGGCGAGGAGAGAAUCCUAAGGUGAUCGAGAGAACUCUCGUUAAGGAACUCGGCAAAAUGACCCCGUAACUUCGGGAGAAGGGGUGCUCUGUUAGGGUGCAAGCCCGAGAGAGCCGCAGUGAAUAGGCCCAGGCGACUGUUUAGCAAAAACACAGGUCUCUGCGAAGCCGUAAGGCGAAGUAUAGGGGCUGACGCCUGCCCGGUGCUGGAAGGUUAAGAGGAGCGCUUAGCGUAAGCGAAGGUGCGAAUUGAAGCCCCAGUAAACGGCGGCCGUAACUAUAACGGUCCUAAGGUAGCGAAAUUCCUUGUCGGGUAAGUUCCGACCCGCACGAAAGGCGCAACGAUCUGGGCACUGUCUCAACGAGAGACUCGGUGAAAUUAUAGUACCUGUGAAGAUGCAGGUUACCCGCGACAGGACGGAAAGACCCCGUGGAGCUUUACUGCAGCCUGAUAUUGAAUGUUGGUACAGCUUGUACAGGAUAGGUAGGAGCCUUGGAAACCGGAGCGCCAGCUUCGGUGGAGGCAUCGGUGGGAUACUACCCUGGCUGUAUUGACCUUCUAACCCGCCGCCCUUAUCGGGCGGGGAGACAGUGUCAGGUGGGCAGUUUGACUGGGGCGGUCGCCUCCUAAAAGGUAACGGAGGCGCCCAAAGGUUCCCUCAGAAUGGUUGGAAAUCAUUCGCAGAGUGUAAAGGCACAAGGGAGCUUGACUGCGAGACCUACAAGUCGAGCAGGGACGAAAGUCGGGCUUAGUGAUCCGGUGGUUCCGCAUGGAAGGGCCAUCGCUCAACGGAUAAAAGCUACCCCGGGGAUAACAGGCUUAUCUCCCCCAAGAGUCCACAUCGACGGGGAGGUUUGGCACCUCGAUGUCGGCUCAUCGCAUCCUGGGGCUGUAGUCGGUCCCAAGGGUUGGGCUGUUCGCCCAUUAAAGCGGUACGCGAGCUGGGUUCAGAACGUCGUGAGACAGUUCGGUCCCUAUCCGUCGCGGGCGCAGGAAAUUUGAGAGGAGCUGUCCUUAGUACGAGAGGACCGGGAUGGACGCACCGCUGGUGUACCAGUUGUUCUGCCAAGGGCAUCGCUGGGUAGCUAUGUGCGGACGGGAUAAGUGCUGAAAGCAUCUAAGCAUGAAGCCCCCCUCAAGAUGAGAUUUCCCAUUCCGCAAGGAAGUAAGAUCCCUGAAAGAUGAUCAGGUUGAUAGGUCUGAGGUGGAAGUGUGGCGACACAUGGAGCUGACAGAUACUAAUCGAUCGAGGACUUAACCAAUUU
rnacentral:rRNA from 1 species